UUAAUCGAGUAAAAAUUUUCACCAGCGUACCUUUUCAAAAUUAAAAAAAAAAAAAAAAAGAAAGAAAAAAACAAAUAAGGUCCAGUGUUAUUUAUUUUGUCGGCAUAUCCAAGAUCCAGCACAUCAGUGUCCGGUAUUCUUCGCUUGCUAAUUCCAUAAUAAAUGUAAAUCCUCCUCUUAUAUUCUUACUCUGUUUGUAAUAGUAGCAUACCGUUUAUGUGUGUAUUCUUCGUCUCCGACUGUCUUCUCUGUGAAAAUGUCUAAUCCUCAAACGAAUGUUUAAAUCCUGGUGUAUUUUUCUGGUAUGGGUUUAUAUUAGUGUAAAUGGGUCUGUUCUUUCUACUCAGUGUCAUUACCUCUUUGUUAUCGCGUUUUUUCUCAACUCAUCUAUGUUCUGUACUUACGUGGUAAAAAUAAGUCUGUCAACCUAACUAUUUUAGUUGUGUAUCAUGUCGUCACUUUAACGUCUCUACUUCUAUUCGUCAUACUUGUUAUAGUACUUGUCGUCAAUCAUCCUAUCCUUAUUUCCGACACCAACACUCACACCUAAACAGAUGGCUUGCACGCUAAACUUUACACUCUCAACCUUACUUUUUUUUACACGAAACUAAAUCGGGUUAAAGUAAUUACUGUCUUACAAGUAACGAAAAAAUAUUAAUAAUUUAAUUUUUUUUUUCCUUGUACAUUUUUGGGACCAGCACAAACUCUUUUUGCAAUACGUCGUACUUUGAGCAAUAAAACAACAAAAUAUACUAAAGAAGUUUUUAUUUUGGAAUUUAUAAUAAAUGUUGACUAAUAUAGAGUCUAUAUAAUAACUACGACGUAUCGAAAAAAUGAGAAUAUUAUGUCAUUAAAAGUACUUAAUUCAACCAACAUAUAUUUAUACAAGAUAACAUUACAUUAAACUGGAUCACUAACAAACUCAUUAUUUUAAAGACAUUUUGGAACAGUACAUUACAAUUUUUUUUUUACUUAUUAAUAAGUUUACAUUUAAUAGAAAAAUGCGCUUCGUAAUUCAAUAAAUAACUUAAUUAUCAAAGUAUGAAGUGCUUAUUAAACAUUUGAAUUUAUUUAUAAACAAUUAAAUUUGAAAAUUUACAUUUAUUGAAAAAAAAAAAGUCUAAAUCUUGAACUAUGUUCCCGUAAUUACAAUCGCGUAUGUUUUUUUUUCAUUUUAAGACUUCAAAUUUCAUAUAUUGCUAAAAAAAAAAAGAAUUUUAGUUUUUUAAAUAUAAAUAUGAGCUAUUGUCUCGUUUUUUUAGGAAAAUUCUCGGUAAAUUACAAAUUCAAUGUUUGAACUGAAAGGAAGUGUUUUUACAGUAUUUUUCUUGAUAAAUGGUCACUUUUGCAUUUAAAAAAAUCAUUUGAUAAUUAUUAUUGGCAAUAUUUUGAAAAUUCCAAGUCUUUUUAAUUGAAAAAAAAAAAUAAGAAAAUUGGAGGUGAUACUGUACAAGAUGUCCUUAGAAAUAAUAAAAUUUUCUACCUCCGUAACCAAAACCACUUAUUACUCGUUUGUUGUGAAGAAAAAUUGCAUGGCCUGUCCUAAAAAUGGUGUAAUUAUUUUCUGUAAUUAACAGUCGUGGGAUGUGAAUCCGUCACACAUGAAUGGGAAAUUGGUGUGCCUGUUUAAUAAAUAAUUAUUUUAUUUUACAACUAAAACCAACAAUUAACAUAAAAAAUAACUUGAAAUUUGAAUUAACAAAUUUUUUAAGUACCGAUUUCGAUACUAGGGGGCGAUUACAACGUUACCGUUAGAAGUCGCGUUACAUACACAGACCUCGUUAUUAAUUUUUACAGAUAAUAUAUAUUAACUAAUCACACAGAGUAUAUAUAUUAAUAUAAAUUUCAAGUAUAAAUAUAUAUAAAUAUAUACAGUAAAAAUAUUCACAGAACAUUAAUAAUUAACACUGUAAAUAUGUCUUUUAAAUUUAUUAACUAUUGAUUAAUGAUUAACUGAUAAAUAUAGAGUUUAAAUAAUAAUUUUAAUAAUGGUUUACUCUAGUAACAAAUUUAAUGUACUUAUCACUAUCACGAUCUUUAAAUAUUAAAUAUUUUAAAUGAAAUAAGGUAAAAAUGCCUGUCUAACAAUACUCACAAUUUAAAUAUUAAUUACUCUACAAUGUAUGUCUAUGUCUUUGUUUAAAUAUUUGUUUUUUUUUUCUUUUUCUUUUUCUUAAACAAACUGAGGGCGUCUGACCAACUGCUCGAAACGCGUCGCGGCUAAGGCUCAUUUCCGUUAAUUAAAUUAUUACUAGGUAACCACCGACCCCCACGCCAUAUUUGUUAAUUUUAAUUAUAAUAAAAAGCAUCGAUUUUUUAAUCAAUACUAUAAACAUUAAUAAUUUUUUAUUACUAAUUAUUAAAAGUCAAUAAUGACAGAAUAAUUGUUUCAUUUAUAAUUAUUGUAUAAUUUUAUUUUAUUUUUUUAAAUUAAUUAUUAUUAAAAGUUUUAAAUUAAGCAAGCAGUGUACUAUAAAUUGUGCAUGCAUUUUUUUAUUUGUAAGAAACUAAAAAAAAAUAAUUACGCUACUUAGUAAUGACUAUUAACGUCUGGCGAAAGGCAAAAGUCUAUAAAAAUACAACGCGGACGACUUGAGUUCGAUUCCCGAUGGUGGUAUAUUUGAAAUAACUUUGUGUAAUUAUUUUUUUUUUUUAGAUAUUUUAUAAUUUAAAUUAUAUUUAUUUUAUAUUUAAUGUUUAAUAUAUUAAUAAUUAUUUUUAUGAUUUGAAAAUAUAUAUAAAAAAAUAUACUGUCAUUAAUAAUUUGACUUUUAAGCGCCAGCAUCUCGCGUUUCUUUAGCCUGGGAAGUUUUGAAUUUUGAAUCUGAAAUUUUAAGGAACAAAAGUAGCAAAAAUAGGUGAAGUAAAUAAGGGCUAGCGGAAGCGCGAUGAUGCAGCGUGCCAAAACUUUUAAAUCAGAAAAAUCUAAAAGAAAAAAAAAGUAAAAAAAAAAUACAAAAGUCAAAAAAAUAUAUUUUCAUUUUAUUUGAAAAAAUUCAGAUAUCUGCAAUGCAGACUUUAAUCUCAUUCUCGAUUUAAAAUCAGUGGAGUAUAUAAAUAUAUUAUUUUAUCUUACUAAUUAAUAUUCAAAUUUAAAAGAUUUAAUGUACUUAUAUUUUGAAAUUGCUCGAGAUAAUAGCGGCACACUCGUGGAUAAAAAAAAAAAAACUGACGAAUCGAGAGUGAGAUAGUUUAAGAAAUGGGUGGGUUCGAAUUAAUUAAAAAUACGAAUAAUGAAUAAUAGAUACGUCAAAUGAAUUUGACAUUUAAAUUUAAAUGGUUAAUAAAAUAAAAAAUAAAAUUAGUCGAUAAUGAAAUAUGUAUAGUGUAUGAAAAGAUAAAAACAAAUGAAUCUUUUUAUCUAACCGUUAUUAAUCCAAAUAUCUACUACUGCCACUGUUACGUUAAUGUCCAAGAGUUAAUAAACGAACAAAAAUAUUAAUAA
rnacentral:lncRNA from 1 species